CGGUAAUCAGCUUCUGGUGGGAUUCCUUCAACGCUGGGGAAAUUACAGCAUCUCAAGUAUUUGUACCUUUCAAGCAAUUCGUUGACCGGGUCUAUACCUCCAAGCCUGACAAAGUUGCAGAAUCUGGAAUAUCUGGAUCUUUCCAGCAACGAUCUUGAUGGCACCAUCCCUUCGAAUCUGAAGGGUCUACAAUCGCUUCGUAUAUUGGAUCUUUCCCGGAAUAACUUGAAUGGGCCAAUACCAGACAGCAUAAUAUUGUCAAAACUUGACAGUGAUCUGUGCCGACCGCAACUUCCUCAGUGGUACUAUAAACGAAAAUUUGGGCACACUCUCUUCACUUCAAUCUCUGUAAGUUAUAUUCAUUAUACUUCAAGUAA